GAGACCAAAUGACACAGAAAUCAACAACACUAGGUCACUGUACGGCCUUCAACAAUGAACAAAGCCCAUACCGCAUAGUCAGCGAUUAAGCCCCCGAGAUCACAAAUGUUAAACAAGUUAAAACGAGAAAACCAACGUUCUUAUUUAUGUACAAAAAAGAAAAACAAAUAUGUAACAAAGCAACAAAUGACAACCACUGAAUUACAGGCUCCUGACUUGAAACCGGCA
rnacentral:lncRNA from 1 species